ACUUUUUCCUUGACCACCUUAUCCAACUCCUUGUGCGAUUGAGCCCAACCCCAGCAGCGAGCGCAACGGCAACGCCUUGUUGGCGACCGGCCGCCGCCGCCGCCCGCCGGCGGCCGGGCGGCCAGCGGGGGGUGGCUGAUGAGGGCUCCGCUGGGCGGCCAGCAUAUGGGGGUGCGGGCGCCACAGUCCGUAGAAGCGCGGGGAGGCUGCGACUGGGUAGCCAGGCGCGUGGAGCGGUGGAGGCAAGCGGCGGCCGGUGGGGGAGGCGGCUGCGUGCGCUCGGUGUCUGCGUCGCAUCGAGCAUUCGAGCUGGUGGAAGGAGCCUAUCGAGGAGCUGAGCAAGCGAGCUGUGGUUCUCGAUUACUGAUUUCCUGGUGGCUGAAAAUCAGCGACGGAAGGUAUCUCAAAGAGAUUUGAAUAGCUAUUUUAACCGUGGGUGAUGUGCCACCAACCCCAACUACUUGUGGUAAUGGAAUUGUUGCGGUGGAAGAGGCUGGUGAACAGGUAGAAGAGGUGGAAGUACAAUUGGGUUCAUUUCAUAUUGCUUGACGAGCUGAACAGGGAAAAGCUAGGUCCUGUGUGUGCUCAUCUCCUGGUAGAUUAAUUCAGAGUUUCAGAAUUCAACACUUGGGGCGGCGUCCAACUCUAAUUAAUGUGUUCUAAGGAAAAAUAUCUCAAGUGCUGAACAGGACUGGGUGUACCUGACAAUUAUAGAAGUGUUGAUGUAGAAACUUUGUGGAGAAAUGGUGCCAAAGUUUGAUUAGUUUGGUUUGACCUUGUAGAGAACUCAACGUCCAGUGGCUACUGCCUAGUGAAUCCAAGUGAAGAUGCACCUGUUAUCCAGGCUUUGGUUCAGGGAGAAAAGUUGGGUGUUCUUGCUUGCAAGUUGUUGUGUACCGUCUAUACAGUAGACUUUAGUUAUUUGAUUUGCAGACAAUUUAGCUUCGGUUUCAUUAACUCAGGCAGCAAUUUCAACCUGCAUGUCCAUUAAUUAUCUAUUUGUAGUGCUUGUUAUAUCA